CAACUACUCCCUUCGUCCACAAAUACUUGUUGGAAAAAUGAAUAAAAGAGAAUGUAUCUAUAACUAAAAUACGUCUAGAUAUAUCCAUUUCUCCAACAAGUAUUUCCGGACGGAGGGAGUAUUUU
rfam:Triticum urartu cultivar G1812 contig547746, whole genome shotgun sequence.